UACGUAGGGUGCAAGCGUUAAUCGGAAUUACUGGGCGUAAAGCGUGCGCAGGCGGUUGUGUAAGACAGAUGUGAAAUCCCCGGGCUCAACCUGGGAACUGCACUUGUGACUGCAAGGCUGGAGUGCGGCAGAGGGGGAUGGAAUUCCGCGUGUAGCAGUGAAAUGCGUAGAUAUGCGGAGGAACACCGAUGGCGAAGGCAAUCCCCUGGGCCUGCACUGACGCUCAUGCACGAAAGCGUGGGGAGCAAACAGG
rnacentral:rRNA from 1 species